UCCGCUCGGGCCGCAUGGUGUGGCAGCAGACUGUUAAUCUGUGAUAGCUUGGUUCGAUUCCAAGGAGCGGAGCCA
rnacentral:tRNA from 1 species